GUGGAUUAGAUACCCUGGUAGUCCACGCCCUAAACGAUGAUGACUCGAUGUUGGCGAUACACAGUCAGCGUCCAAGCGAAAGCGUUAAGUCAUCCACCUGGGGAGUACGCCCGCAAGGGUGAAACUCAAAGGAAUUGACGGGGGCCCGCACAAGCGGAGGAGCAUGUGGUUUAAUUCGAUGAUACGCGAGGAACCUUACCCGGGCUUGAAAGUUACUGAAGGUAGCAGAGACGCUACCGUCCCUCGGGACAGGAAACUAGGUGCUGCACGGCCGUCGUCAACU
rnacentral:rRNA from 1 species